rnacentral:rRNA from 2 species
AACUCUGGUAUUGAUUGGUGCUUGCAUCAUGAUUUACAUUUGAGUGAGUGGCGAACUGGUGAGUAACACGUGGGAAACCUGCCCAGAAGCGGGGGAUAACACCUGGAAACAGAUGCUAAUACCGCAUAACAACUUGGACCGCAUGGUCCGAGCUUGAAAGAUGGCUUCGGCUAUCACUUUUGGAUGGUCCCGCGGCGUAUUAGCUAGAUGGUGAGGUAACGGCUCACCAUGGCAAUGAUACGUAGCCGACCUGAGAGGGUAAUCGGCCACAUUGGGACUGAGACACGGCCCAAACUCCUACGGGAGGCAGCAGUAGGGAAUCUUCCACAAUGGACGAAAGUCUGAUGGAGCAACGCCGCGUGAGUGAAGAAGGGUUUCGGCUCGUAAAACUCUGUUGUUAAAGAAGAACAUAUCUGAGAGUAACUGUUCAGGUAUUGACGGUAUUUAACCAGAAAGCCACGGCUAACUACGUGCCAGCAGCCGCGGUAAUACGUAGGUGGCAAGCGUUGUCCGGAUUUAUUGGGCGUAAAGCGAGCGCAGGCGGUUUUUUAAGUCUGAUGUGAAAGCCUUCGGCUCAACCGAAGAAGUGCAUCGGAAACUGGGAAACUUGAGUGCAGAAGAGGACAGUGGAACUCCAUGUGUAGCGGUGAAAUGCGUAGAUAUAUGGAAGAACACCAGUGGCGAAGGCGGCUGUCUGGUCUGUAACUGACGCUGAGGCUCGAAAGUAUGGGUAGCAAACAGGAUUAGAUACCCUGGUAGUCCAUACCGUAAACGAUGAAUGCUAAGUGUUGGAGGGUUUCCGCCCUUCAGUGCUGCAGCUAACGCAUUAAGCAUUCCGCCUGGGGAGUACGGCCGCAAGGCUGAAACUCAAAGGAAUUGACGGGGGCCCGCACAAGCGGUGGAGCAUGUGGUUUAAUUCGAAGCUACGCGAAGAACCUUACCAGGUCUUGACAUACUAUGCAAAUCUAAGAGAUUAGACGUUCCCUUCGGGGACAUGGAUACAGGUGGUGCAUGGUUGUCGUCAGCUCGUGUCGUGAGAUGUUGGGUUAAGUCCCGCAACGAGCGCAACCCUUAUUAUCAGUUGCCAGCAUUAAGUUGGGCACUCUGGUGAGACUGCCGGUGACAAACCGGAGGAAGGUGGGGAUGACGUCAAAUCAUCAUGCCCCUUAUGACCUGGGCUACACACGUGCUACAAUGGAUGGUACAACGAGUUGCGAACUCGCGAGAGUAAGCUAAUCUCUUAAAGCCAUUCUCAGUUCGGAUUGUAGGCUGCAACUCGCCUACAUGAAGUCGGAAUCGCUAGUAAUCGCGGAUCAGCAUGCCGCGGUGAAUACGUUCCCGGGCCUUGUACACACCGCCCGUCACACCAUGAGAGUUUGUAACACCCAAAGUCCGGUG